UGGGGACUGGCCCAGCAUUUUAAACUUAAUCCAGGCCAUGGCCAGCUGGACCCUGAGAUGGUGCUAUCUGAGAAAGCCAAUGGGAGCACCCUCCGGGGGUGCACAGAGGAAAGGACGCUCAGCCUGACCUUCCCGAGGCUGUCCGUGCCAGCGGCUCCGCGUGAGGGAGGGGCCCGCUCCUGCUUGGUGAGAGAGUCAGCACGCGGUGGCCUGGGUGAACUGUCACCCCUACAACUCAGCUUGCAACCAGCCCUGGCCACCACCAGUUUCCCCACACUGAGCUGAAUAUUGGACAUGCCCAUCUUAGACAUUCCAGCCCAUUCUGAAAUUCCACAUCGAUUCACCCGACAAAGUCUGAAGUUCCAGGGCAAUUUAUCUGGAAAAGCUCACCUGGAAUCAUGUGUCAUUUCAACCAACAACUGUUGAAGAGGACGUGGCAUCAAAACCAAGGUUAUCAAUUAUUUAUAAGGGUUGUGUGGUGGUUGGUCCAAGCAUCUCUCCUUCAUGCCAUCACUCCUUUCAAGAGCUGCCUCUAUUUUCUAAUUUAGCACAGGAAUUUAGAUGCCCCUAAAUAAGUAGGCAUCCAGUAUCUGCCCACACCAGUUUUAGUGAGAGUACAUAUGGAGACACUACCACCACCCCUGCUCUCCUACUGCAUACCCCACCAUGCCAAAGCAUGGUGGCUCACACCUGUAAUCCCAGUGCUUUGGGAGGCCAAAGAGGAGGAACACUUGAGGCCAGAAGUAUGAGACCAGCCUGGGCAACAUAGUGAGACCUCAUUUCUAUAAAUAAG
rnacentral:lncRNA from 1 species